rnacentral:rRNA from 1 species
GAUGAACGCUGGCGGCGUGCCUAAUACAUGCAAGUCGAGCGAACAGAUAAGGAGCUUGCUCCUUUGACGUUAGCGGCGGACGGGUGAGUAACACGUGGGUAACCUACCUAUAAGACUGGAAUAACUCCGGGAAACCGGGGCUAAUGCCGGAUAACAUUUAGAACCGCAUGGUUCUAAAGUGAAAGAUGGUUUUGCUAUCACUUAUAGAUGGACCCGCGCCGUAUUAGCUAGUUGGUAAGGUAACGGCUUACCAAGGCAACGAUACGUAGCCGACCUGAGAGGGGGGUCGGCCACAUGGGAACUUGACCACGGUCCAGAGUACUACGGGAGGCAGCAGUAGGGAACCUUCGGCAAUGGGCGAAAGCAUGACGGAGCAACGCCGAGUGAGUGAUGACGGUCUCGGGAUCGUAAAACUCGGUUAUUAGGGAAAAACAAAUGUGUAAGUAACUGUGCACGUCUUGACGGUACCUAAUCAGAAAGCCACGGCUAACUACGUG